UACAGAGGUCUCAAGCGUUUGUUCGGAUUCAUUGGGCGUAAAGGGUGCGUAGGCGGCGCGGUAAGUCGGGUGUGAAAUCUCGGAGCUUAACUCCGAAAACUGCAUUCGAUACUGCCGUGCUUGAGGACUGGAGAGGAGACUGGAAUUUACGGUGUAGCGGUGAAAUGCGUAGAUAUCGUAAGGAAGACCAGUGGCGAAGGCGGGUCUCUGGACAGUUCCUGACGCUGAGGCACGGAAGGUCAGGGGGAGCAAACGGG
rnacentral:rRNA from 1 species